GCAGCAACAGCAACAACAGCAACAGCAACAGCAACAGCAAAAACAACAACAACAACAACAACAACAACAGUGGCAACAGCAGCAGCAACAACAACAACAGCAACAACAGCAACAGCUACAACAGCAACAGCAACAACAGCAACAGCAAUAGCAACAACAAGAACAACAACAACAACAACAACAACUACUACUACUAGUACUACAACAACAACAACAACAGCAACAACAACAACAACAACAACAACAACAACAACAACAACAGCAACAACAGCAACAGCAGCAGCAAC
rnacentral:lncRNA from 1 species